AUGUGCCUGAAUUUUUGUGUGGUGUCAGCCACUUUUUGCAAAUCGCAUCGUGAGGCAAAGACGGUGACAAUGUGGAGCGCCGACCACGGUGAGGCCAAGCUCUACGAGCGUAAGCAGGUGAUAGCCGGCAAGAGUGAGUAUAUGAAACUUAAGGGGGGAGGGGUGCAGGAGGGUCGCCGAAGUUUUUCAUCGGGGCUUGGCUUAGAGGGAUGGUCGAGGUGGCGACCAGCACAGUGGUGGGAGAAGGUCCAGCGGAGGGCGGGCGAUGAUAGCCGCCGGCCAUGGGGGACGAAGGCAGGCGGCCAGGGCUGGGUAGGCCAUGGAGAAGGGGGGGGCCGCCGCGGGGAGGAGGAAGAAGAAGAUGAAUAG
rnacentral:rRNA from 1 species